rnacentral:lncRNA from 1 species
AACCAGUGGGUUAGGGAGGAGCUCCUCUUCUAUUCUUUUUCCAGAGGGAAGAACCUGCCACUGUCAGAGCCCUGGUCUCCCUGUCUGGGGCCAGGACCCGCGUUUGGGGAUGUGCUUUAAGGGAGAUGCCAACUGAAGUAUUUUUGUCUUGCUAGCUCCGUUGCUAAGCAACCACUGAGCGGCAGCAACAGCUGGGGGAGAGUGGCUGGGAUGGGAGGCCUGGGGACCACCCUCAAACCUGUCUGUUGCACACACCUCUCCAGUGCAGGCAGGGUUGGGGGGGGGUUGGAAAGCUGCAGAGGGAGGAGGGGUGGCUCAGUGUUGGGGGUCCUUCUGAGCCAGGAGCCUCCCCUCUUACUGCCCUUCUCCCGUUACAGAGGCUGUGAUCAAUAGCCAGGAAUGGACUUUGAGCCGCUCCAUUCCUGAACUGCGCCUGGUAGGUAACCCAGUCCCCUUGCCUAUAGGGAAGGCUGACCUCCCACCCACUGCACUCUCAGCUCUCUCCCUUCACCUCUCCUUCUCUCUCUCUCUCUCUUUGGGAAUAGGGAAUCGUUUUCCAGUUCUCCUGAGAGUCUGCCUUCAUAGCACCAACAUGGGGUUUGCUACAGCCUCCUCACAAGUUUUUCCUAUCUAGUCUUUAUGCAGCCAUCCCCUUUUUCCUGUUUGUUCAUGGUCCUCCUCCAGGCUUCUCAUUUCUGG